CCUCAUAUUGAACACAGAAGUGAGGGUUGCAAGACUGCGUACCGGUCGUAGUAGUGAAGAUUUUAUUGCUCUUUGAAUUCUUACUCGACGCCAGAACUACCUGGUAAAGCUGACGAAUUAAAAAAAAAAAAAAAAACUCAGGGGAGAGCUUUGGGGGCUGAAUGAUGGCUCUGUUUCGUUUUCUUCUUUUUUUCUUUUUUGAAGGUUGUGAUCUGAGUUUCAAGGGAUAUAAUUCUCCUGAAGCUAAUUCCAUUCGGCUUUAUAAGGGAUAUAAGAAUCCUAUCCAAUCGUCUAAUCUUCUUUUGAUUUUUCUCUUUUUCCUCGUCUACCUGACGCUUUGGCUGGAGAUAAUUAUAACUCAAAUUUG
rnacentral:lncRNA from 1 species